UACGAAGGGGGCUAGCGUUGCUCGGAAUCACUGGGCGUAAAGGGUGCGUAGGCGGGUCUUUAAGUCAGGGGGGAAAUCCUGGAGCUCAACUCCAGAACUGCCUUUGAUACUGAAGAUCUUGAGUUCGGGAGAGGUGAGUGGAACUGCGAGUGUAGAGGUGAAAUUCGUAGAUAUUCGCAAGAACACCAGUGGCGAAGGCGGCUCACUGGCCCGAUACUGACGCUGAUGCACGAAAGCGUGGGGAGCGAACGGG
rnacentral:rRNA from 1 species